rnacentral:rRNA from 1 species
ACAGGUGGUGCAUGGUUGUCGUCAGCUCGUGUCGUGAGAUGGUUGGGUUUAAGUCCCGCAACGAGCGCCAACCCCUACGUUUAGUUGCUAACGCGUGAAGGCGAGCACUCUAGACGAACUGCCGUUGAACAAACGGAGGAAGGUGGGAUGACGUCAAAUCAUCAUGCCCCUUAUGUUCUGGGCUACACACGUGCUACAAUGGCCGGUACAGACGGACGCAAAGCCGCGAGGCGGAGCAAAUCCGAAAAAGCCGGUCUCAGUUCGGAUUGCAGGCUGCAAUUCGCCUGCAUGAAGUCGGAAUCGCUAGUAAUCGCAGGUCAGCAUACUGCGGUGAAUACGUUCCCGGGCCUU